UCCUCGCCAGUCACAGCCCCCAGCGAUCACCGGCUCUGCCCCCGGCUUGCACACCUGCCCUCCAGCUCCGCACGCAGGGAGUGCGGGUGGCACGUCCCAGCCGCAGCAGAGACGCAUGCGGCGGUUCUGGCUGGGGCAGAGCUAAUUGCCUGUGCCACACCGGGGGUCUGUGCUGACAGCAGCGCUGCUAACACCGGGAUGCUUCGGUCCCUGCUGAGCAGCACUCCACAGCAUCGGGGGCUCCUCUGCUCCUCGCCCCGUCCCGCCAGCGAGCAGACGGACACGGGAAACAGGAGCUUCGUGUUCCGGACCAGUGGUCACCAGGGCCCAGACGCUGCUUCAUCCAGCAAAAGCUGCCCCGUGAGUGGAUGCCCUGGUGUGCAGUACACAUCUGUUACAUGGCGGCACGAUCGGACCUUCCGAAACUCCCUGUUCGGAAAAGCUCUGGUAGUGUCUCACAGGCACGAUUAACUACACGUGAAAAUCUUGUUGGUGUUUUUAUGCACAGAUUUCUUCAAAGCAAGCACAGAGACAACAAGCAAUUGUCUAUUAUUCACUUGCCAAAGCUCUGUGAUUAUUUUCCGCAUGAAGCCAGAAGGAUCACAACAUUAGCUUGCGGCUUUUGUGAACCACCAGUGGACAAUUAGGAUCUGUUACAGAAACACAGCAAAGCAGAACACUUUGUUGUUUUUUGAGAACUGAACAGCAUUCGGUGCUCUCAGACGGUAUUUGAAACCUCGCACGCUGUGCGGAGGACAGAGCGCAGACUCUGUCAGCUGCACGUCCAGGUCGCAAAGGCGAGUUGUUUCUGCAGAGACCUGCUUCAGUGAGACACCAGAGGGCUCUCGUUGUGCUGGAAACUGCUUCAACUGUGAAAAAAACUGAAGCUGUCUCAGCCAAGAUCUUUAUUUGCCACCAUGAGUGUGAUUAUCGCUUCGAUUUUUUUUUCCAUGGUUUUGAGACGUUUUUGUUAGGGUCAGUUCUCAAACAGAGCAGGUGGAGGGAGGGGAUCCUUCCCCCAGACACGGCACCGGUGGGGCCACAGCGGGGGAUCGUGUCCAGAGCUGCGUUCAGCCUGGAGCAGGCUCAGUGGGGUCUUAUCCAUGUGGAUAGAUACCUGAAGGGAGGGUGCACGGGGGCGAGAGCCGGGCUCUGCUCGGCGGGGCCCAUUUACGGGAAGGAUGUUCCUCCAGCGCAGGGCAGGGGACAGCCGGGCACCGCACGGGCAGCGGGCUCUGCCACGCCACGCCUGGUCCCCAGCAGGAGCCAGUGCCUGGGGACCAGGGCCCGUCCUGGGGAUGCAGGUGCGUGCGGACAUCACCCACUCAUCCAGGCGUCUGGGUGACAAACCCCCAGGGUUCAGGCUGCUGAAACUAUCACACUUGUCUCAGUACCUGCUGUGCGAGAUCUGCACUGUCAAACAGUCCGUCUGUGACCUGCGGAGGUUAACGUGUCAAAUUAACAACCGAUGGAGCUGUUUACCUGUUGAGACCAAUACAGCUUGCUCCUAAGGGAGGGAGUGAAAUGCGAACUAAGUGCAACAGAGCAUCUUUGGAGAAGCAUGUACAAAACAUACUCACACCUGUCUACAAACAAUAGCAAGUAAUUGCUCAAAUCUACUUUGAAUGUUUCUGGUUUUACUGCUAUCGCAUUCUCUUCUCUAAUUCUGUUUAUAAUACCAACAGAAAAGGGGGAAAGUACUUUUUCAGCAGUCUGUCUACAUGCUAAAGAAAAUACUUUAUUUAAAGCUUUUGAAGCUCUAUCUUUUCCUUCUGAAGGAUUUGAUAAUGAAUUAUACAUUCCAGCACAACAUGAAAUAUUUAACUCAUGCUCUUCAAUUUGAGUUCAACUUCUCAAACAGAGGAAUGAGUUUGAGCCCAGAAAAGACAGGCUAUACAGAUAUGGAUCCACUAGUGCUUCCAACAGUUUUCCUUGCUCAGUGCCCAGAUCAAUAGGACUGAAGUCUCAGAAGGCUUCAGGUGGCCAGAGCUGUUCUAGGUGCCAUUCACUGAAUCACAAGAGAAACUUGCCUUCAGCAGAUGGAUGUGCAAAUAUGAAUUCAGGCUUGAUGCUCUGAAAGUACGCCUGCAGAUUUCUAAAGGCUUGGAGGAAAAUAUGCAAGGAAAGUGAAGUGCAAUAAUUGUUGCUCACACAAUGAAGCUACUCCCUUGUUUCAGAACUUCUCCAAGCCAGCAGGAGGGUCACAGCGCUGGCAAAGGGAGGACCCGAUCUCCGUGUCCCGGGCUGCUCGCUGGCACCGUGCUGCGGCUGUGCUGGGAUCUCCCUGCAGCUGAUUCACAGCAGACGCGAAUCGGGUCAGGAGCUGUACUUCAUUUAGGAGACGCAGAGCGCUGGUUGACCUGAGUGCUCCGCGCUGAUCCGGCGGAUCCGGUGCCCGGUCUGAGGGUGCGGACGCUGCUGCUGGUGUCUCGGGAGGGACGGUGGACGCGGGCGGGUGACCUGAAGUGUCCUGAUCUCCGAACCUGCUGCCACGUUGUCUUCCACUGUUGAGUCUUCUACAGCAAACUUGCUUGUGUAAAUGUGUGAUGGUAUCUCUGUUAUGUUUAUAUGGGAAUUGUACUUCCUCCUGGUGUCUGUGCCGUGAAUGUUUCACAUUUGAGAACCCCAAGAAGUCUCUAACCCAUAUAUUCCUUGGGCAGUACCGCAGGGCCUUUCUGAAUGUAAAUGUUUUCAUUCCAGCGCGUUAAUCUUGCACAAUACCCAGCUUUUGGAAGUCUGUGCCAGCAAAUUGGAUUUUAGUUUCCUGACAUAACAAAAGAGAUGUGAAAACCAAGAGAAACUGUUUCCAAACUUCUAAAGGGAUUUCUGCAGCAGAAAAAAGCUCACUUUUUAAAGUGGGAACUGGAUGAGCUUUUCCAGCUCUCUGAACGUUUGCACCUUGUCUUUCAGUUAUAUUUCUGUAAAUUGAAACACAAAAUGUUUCUCAAUGGCAUUGCAGCUGGGAUUAUCUAACUGAUAUGGAUAUGGGGUGCACAACAAUUUCUGCCUUUUUAGUACUUAUUCCAUCAUUGUCUCCACAGAAGUACAAAGACUUUUUGAGCACAGACAUGCAGAGGUAUUUUUCAUUUGCAUACCGUGCCUUUAGCAGCUGGCAGUAUACUUAGUUAAACAUUGAGUGUAUGGAAAAUAAAUGGCGCAUCGGUACUUUCAUACCUUAAUAUGCUUUUUAAAGAAACCGACCUUUUGAUAUCCAACAUGUACAAAGUAUUAGUUGCUACUUACUCCAUUGCUUUCUCUUCCUUCAUCCUGUGUAGAAUUUAAAUAUUCUAUUUUAUUUUUAUUUUUGGAGACAAGAGGUUUGAAUUUUACAGUUAUAAUUGCACUGUCACCUUCAGCUGUUAUUGCUUAUGCUGCACAGCAAUGUUAAGAUGACCUUUCUGCACCUGUGACCAAGUUUUCUAGUGUGACCAGCUCAGGUCACUGGGCUUGAGUUGGUGGCUCCUUUCAGUGUCCCCUCUGUAAGCAGUGUGGCGCCGGGGACAGGGCGGGCCGAGCCGCGAAGGGCAGCAGUAGCUACACAGGAGUCUGCUUUGCAGGGGGAGCGUCGCCGCGGCUCAGAGCUGCCCAGGGCUCGCACCAGGCACCGUGCCUGGAUCACAGCUGGCAACCGGCUGCUCUCUCCGUAGGACAAAGCCACCUUUUGGAACAAAGGGAACCACCGCGAGGGCAGCAAAAACCCCUUUGUUAGGACAGACUUCAGCAGUGAAGCUGCGAAGUGACCCAGCUUCACCUGUUGCAAGGGCCUGGGAAAGCAGGGGCUGGUUUGUCCGUCCUGGCCGGCGGCACGCAGGCGCUGUUCCGAGGCGGGGGUGUGCUCCGCACCCGCCGCUCUGCACCCGGCCGGCAGCGACGGCGGCGACCGGGGCAGCCGCUCCUCCUGCGGUCGGACGGCGCAGGUGGCCCUGGCUGUGCCCAGAGCAGAACCGGAGACCUGCGGGACGGAGAAAGCGUCAGCAGGUGGCACUGGUGACAUGCAGCAGAUUUUCUGCGUCUUUGCAAAGAAAGGGAAAAUACAGUCAGUUUGUGCAUUUUGGCACAAACGGGUGCCAGCAGCUCUGGGCUCAGCUGCUGGCACACAUGGCUCAGCUGGAGGCGAGGGCAGUGAGGAUGCUGGCAAGCGAUGGGGAGAUCCGACGUUCCCGGCGCUGGCAGCACUCCUGCCUCUGGCUGGGAGGGUCUGGGGCUGCCGGCGGGGGCCGUGGGGGCUGGAGAGCUGAGCCGGGUGCAUCACAAAGCCGGGCAUGCAGCUAAUUGCAACCUGGGCAAGCUUCCAAAGAUCAUCCUUGCUCAUGCUUUCCGCUUGUGAUUUACUCAGCAAGAAAAUCCACCCAUUCUGAAUGUCACUGGAGAAGUGAAUUGGCUUUAAUGCGAGGUCAGCUCAGUUUCUAAACAUGGUACUGGCUGGCUCAUCAGCCUGUGUGCAUCUUCUGCGAUCCCAUCCCUGUCUGUAGUUGUACCCCAUCCGCGUACGAUGGACCUCUGCUUCAGCAGAGCACAGCUUCAGGCCUAAAGUCAGCACACCACGAACUUUCCAAACCUCCGAUAAAUCUAGUGUGAAAACCCUAUUUCAAAUUGUUUGGACUUGAGAUGUGUUUCCCCAGGCAAAGUCAGCAUAUAGGUCAUUGGGAAAGGGACAACCUGCACUGAUAGUGCAGCAGGUUGGGACCUACUUGGGGGAACUGGAUUUGUACAAAUCUGGGGGCUGGCAGGGACUCACCAAGGGUGCCAAAAGGGUUAAUUGACGUGACUGGGAUCUGGUGUGUGUCACCUGUGAAAAAUUGUGGUGAUUAGGAGGGGACUGUGACUGGAAAAUAGUGAUAUGGCCCCAAUCUUUAAGAAGGGGAAGGAGGAGGACUCAGAGGGAUGGGCUGGUCAGCCUCACCUCAGUUCUGGAACAACCAUGGAGUGUGGCCCCUGGAAUCUGUUCCCAAACAAAGCACAAGAAAUCAAUUGGGACCAGUCAACAUGUUCCCCAAGGCAGGUGCUGCUUGGACAGCCUGAUGGCUUUCUAUGGCAGGAUGGGACUGCGGGGCAGGGGACAGCAGGGACCAGCGUGCUGGGGCCGAGCGAGGACAUCAGCACCAUGUCCCACCGCAGUCCCCGGCGGGAGCUGAGGACACACGCUCCGGGCUGGAUGGACCUGCUGUUGGGUGCGAUGGGAACGGACUGGGCUCACAGAGUGGCUGCCCAGCAGUGACUGGAGCUGACGCUGGAGCCAGCGGCGUUUCACAUCCUGGCAAGGGGGGUUGUUAUCUCCUCUGCUCAGAGCAGGCAAGGACACCUGGGGACCUGCGUCCAGUUUCAGGCUCCCAGUUCAAACGGGAUGUGGAGCUGCUGGAGCGGAGCCAGCAGAAGCUGCGAUGAUGGCGAGGUAUCCGGGGUCUGUAGCCAAGGCGGGAGCUGGAGGCUGGUUGAGCCUGGCUGGGGAGGCUGGCGGGAUGGUCUGACCGCUCCUGGGUCCACUGCCCACAGCAGCGGCUCCAGCAGGAGAGCUGGGCGGUGCUGGGUCAGGCGCUGGAGUCCCCGUCCCCGGAGCUGACGGCAGCUCUGCUCUGAGCAGCAGGGUAGGUCAGGGUCCCUUCCAGCCACAGUGUUUACGGUUCUGUGUAAUAUCCCAGGGAAAUUAGGAGAGAAUUGGUAGAUUGUCGUGUACUGAAACUACAAAUGCUUGUUUCCAUAUGUUCUGUGCUUCGAUCCAUAUUUUCUUUUUAAAGUUCACCUUGUGUAAUAAAUAGUUUAUAGAAUUUGUUACAAAAUAUUAUAUCAAUGUUAAGGAUAUACUAUAUGUCCAAAAUUUGUAUUUUAUUAUGAGAAUUUCUGUCCUAUUACUCCUAGAACAGACGUAAGAAGAAAGUUUGUGUCAAAUACAGAGUUAUUACUAAAUAUGUUGUUUACAGACAUUGAAGGCUCCUGGAAGACACUGAUGUAAUGACCCAGGAUUUAAAACAUGCACAUACCGUUUUUCAAGUGAAACUCAUAAGCCAGUUUCUCCUCUACAAAUGACAACAGGGUAUGUUCCCUGUGUAAUUCAGGCUUUGCUGAAAUGCGCAUGGUACUCCUAAGAACCUUCUACCAAUAAUGCCCAUGAGAGAAAACGGAUAAACCCUGGAAACAGGCUUUAGCUAAAAAUUACAGGACUAUUAGCAGGCUAGAAUCUUAUGUAUAAGUAGACCUAUCCAUCUUGCUCUUUGUAGAUUAAUGCAAUGCCUUUUAAGUCAACUGUUAAUACCUUAUUAAAAUAUUCACUGUUGUUUUGCUCACAUACUUUGGGGCAUUUGUGUCUCUCAUGUAACCAGUUCUUCCUCCAGGACUUGCAGAGCGCAUGGCAGUGGAGGUCUGCUGCUUUAACCCCGUUUUAUUGAAAUCCCGGCCCAGAAGGACGGUAUGACUUGUGCACAAAUCACUUGGCAGGUCAGAGACAGGGCCAGAGGGCUGCUCUCCCGAUCCCACUGCACUUUCAUCGCUGAACCAGAGUGCAGCACAAGGGACAAAAGGAUAGUAAAAUCUUUAGUGACAAGUCGACAGUACCGUCACGGAACAAACCAACCCCCUGCCCACGGUGCUGGACACCCACGCAGAGCUGCAGCGUGCCAGUCCCUUGCAAGCCUUUUGCCGGGACACCGGGCUCCGAGGUGUCCCUGGUGCCCAGAGACACGCGGUGCUGCCCACACCGUGCCCUUUCCAGCCGACAUGCCAGCGAGAGCUGGUGAGGAGCCGCGGGCUGCGCGGGGACGUGUCCCCAUGGAGGGCUGGGCAGGAGGACGCGCUGCGCAGCAGAGCCCGAGGGUCCUGCUGGAUCUGCACCAGGGACAGUAAUGUUGGCAGAAAUAGUUGUAGAAAGAAUUUUUAAUGUGCAUAAAAUUGAGACUAUUUUAAGACUAGAAAUCAGAGACUCUCUGUGUUCAUGAUUUCAUUCCCAUGAGCACCCCUCUGCUUAUAAAUACCUCCUAUUUGCAUUGAAUUGUUUAUUGUUAAUAGCUUUGGUGUUUAGAAGGUACAAAUAACAUAUCCCCUGGGGAAAGGAAAUGUCUUUCCUGACAUAUAAAAUAUCUACUUUGUCUACUUUUGAACUAAGGAGAAGUACUUUAAGAACUAUUAUGUAGUUUUUAACAUCUAAUAGGAGCUAAUGGUCUGACCUGCAAUACCGCUGUCCGGCUGGUCCCUCUGUCCGGAGCGCAGGUUUGGGAGGGUGCCGCCCGCACGCGCAGCGCUGGCCUGGAGCUGGUGCCCGAGGGCAGAGCAGCGCCGGGGCCGCGGGGCAGCGCCCGGAGCUGCCGGCUGCCUGGAGGCUGCAGCUGCUCGUGCACAGCGUGCGGGAGCCGGGUCUGUCUUCUGGGGGGGGUGUUUGUAAGUUCUGCGGACUCCAGCUAAGCAGCAUCACUUGGCCUUGUUCAGUGAGGAUUUACAGGUACUGGCACCAGGACAUUGCCUAUAUGGCAAUGAACCAGUUUCAAUAAACCAGUUUUCUGCUGUUGUCUGUUGGUUUAGACCGCAGUAUUAAAUGAAGAAAUCACCUAAUAAAUUCAUUUAUUAAUGCCUUCAAAAUCUAAUAAAGAAAUAUGUCAGGCAUUAAUUUACCUGGAAAGAUAAUCAGAGAGACCCUUCGACUGGAGCAGGCAGUCUGGGCAGCGUCUUUAAAGUUAAUAAAGCAAGAAGCUAAGAGUCUGUACAGCUUCAGUCUCUGUUAGCAUCUCUUUGCUGGCAGCAUGCAGCAAGAGGCAGCAAAAGAAUACUGAAUUGCUCCAAAAGUACCCCAGUCCUCAGCAAAGGAAAACUCCCCGUGGCAGGAGGAUUUGUCACGGCCCCGGUAAGGCAGGAUGGAGCUGGGACCCACCUCCCCCGGGUCAGAGACGCUUCCGAGCUGUGGGUCACGUCGGGUGGAGCAUCGUGCUGCAUGGAGACGGCGAUGGGAUCGGCGAGCGCUGCAGGAUCGGCGGCUGCACGGCGGGCCCGGACCUCUCCGGCCUCAGGGAUUCACUAAUUAGACACUGAGGAACAACCCUUCUGAGGUUUGUAAAACAUUCACGUUGUCUGAGCUACCGGAAGCCGCAUGUUCUGCUCUUGCAGCAAGACUGAGCAGCACCGCACCUUCGCUUUGAGCCUUUUCACUCUGGUGCUGCUCUCUGUGCAUCCAGAUCCGUGGCCCCUAGUGUUCGCCUUGCAGAAGCAGAUUUUCCAGAGGUGCAGUGGUGUCUUCAUGAGUAAAGAUUCCUGAGUUGUUUUAGAUGUGGGGCACACCAUCAUUAAACCACGGUAAAGUAUCUUGGAUUGUAGGAUUAUGCGUUCAGUCUUUUCCUGGAAUUGUAUUCACAUUUAUUUAAAGGUGAAUUUUCACUUAAAGUAAUUCUUGCUCUGCAGAAAUCAGUGGAGUUAAACCCAGUGAGAAGUAGAUGUUUUCUGGCUUUUUCCUUCACUCUCGGUUUUAGGGGUCCAGCGAGGACGGGCGCUGGUGUUGGGAGGUUCUGCCACCUGCGCUGCCCACUGCACUUUGGUUACUGCUAUAACUACCGACUCGAUCU